AUUGAACGCUGGCGGCAUGCCUUACACAUGCAAGUCGAACGGCAGCACGGGUGCUUGCACCUGGUGGCGAGUGGCGAACGGGUGAGUAAUACAUCGGAACGUACCUUAUCGUGGGGGAUAACGCAGCGAAAGCUGUGCUAAUACCGCAUACGCCCUGAGGGGGAAAGCGGGGGAUCGAAAGGCCUCGCGCGAUUAGAGCGGCCGAUGCCUGAUUAGCUUGUUGGUGGGGUAAAAGCCCACCAAGGCGACGAUCAGUAGCUGGUCUGAGAGGACGAUCAGCCACACGGGGACUGAGACACGGCCCAGAACCCUACGGGGGGCAGAAGUGGGGAAUUUUGGACAAUGGGGGCAACCCUGAUCCAGCAAUGCCGCGUGAGUGAAGAGGGCCUUCGGGUUGUAAAGCUCUUUUGUCAGGGAAGAAACACCGGCUCUAACACAGUCCGGGAAUGACGGUACCUGAAGAAUAAGCACCGGCUAACCACGUGCCAGCAGCCGCCGUAA
rnacentral:rRNA from 1 species